ACAUGCCUACAACAUAGCGUUAAUGCAUCGGAUCCCAUUAGAACUCUGCAGUUAAGCAUGCUCAGGCUAGAGUAGUACUGGGAUGGGUGACAACUCUGGAAGUCCUAGUGUUUUACAUGUC
rnacentral:rRNA from 1 species